GCUGCCUAUAUAAGCAGGGCAGUUUGGCUGCUGGAGGCCAGGCAGCAACAUCGCCUGGCCGGAGGGCUGCUGAGAACAACCCGGAGGACAGAUGUCUCCAUGGGUAAUGAUGCACUGAUCGCAGUGUGGCUAGCAGGACAGGUGCGCACCCCCUGUAUUGCAUGAGUUACAGCGGUGCGCACCCAAAUCCACAGAGAAGAAUGAGGCCACGGUCUGUUUUCACUUGUACGAGGGAGAAGCCAGAGCGAGCCAUGGACUUCUGCAGGGUUCACACUAGGGAUAUUGGUCCACUGGGAUCUAAUCCUUCCCUCCUGGCAGUCCCACACCAAUGUGGCUCCACUGAUGUCGGUGGUGAUACUCCGCAUCUGUACGGAGACUGGAAUCUUGCCCCCUGUCAUCGUAGAAAGCAGUCUAUAAACUAUAAACGAGUGGUUCCUGCAGCAUCCUUCAUCCCCUUCUUUUCCCAAGUACAGAGCAUCUGAGAACAUCAAGAAAUCAGAGGAUGUACACCCCAGAGCAAGAUACAUUAAUUAAACCAGGAGUUUGAGAGCCACCACCUCAACUUUGGAUAUAUCAGGGUAUCUCCAUUGAUUUCAGCAUGCGGCACCAAUGUACUGGAGUCCUCAUGUAAAAGCAUGACUUGAUUUCUGUAGUGGUACAAGGAUCUGGCCCAUGAAAUACAUUUAUGCCUGGGAAAAAAAAAUGGCUCUGAAAUUCAUGCACAAUCAUUUUUGAGCCUUGGUGAUUCCAUAUGAAACCCAGUCACUGUUUAAAAGGCUUUUCUGCAAACUCAUAUUGAGUUCUGAAAGGUAAGCUGGGUCCUUUUUGGCUCAUGAAUGGGAACAAAUAGCGAUGAUUCCCCCGCACCAAACGCUGUCCUCAUUUAUACCUGUCUGUCCUCCCAGGUUUGCGGAGCAAAUAAAAUGCAGUAAUUCUGUUGAUCACACACCAGCCAGAAUAGAUUCCAGCUUCCUCUUUCUCAGUUGCAUCCGCUCUGCAGGGCUGACAGAAACAAAAUGCAUUAGGAACGUGUUUUUGUCACCAGAAAUCAACAGAGCUGACUGUGAAUGCACACAGGGAGCCCAUCUGUUGAAUAAGAUGGUAACGUGGCAUCAUUUUUACUUAGCCAGUUUUCAUAGCAGGACUGUGUUUUUAUUUCAUCCACGCCAUCCCUUGACUUACUCAAGUUGUUCUUCAUCAUACAAUAUUUAUUAACUCUCUGUCCAGUCUCUAAGACAAUGGGGUAUCUAUUGGGAAGCCGUUCCAAAGGUUUGUGCAUCUCAGUGUCAAAUUCCUUAUUUACAUUCUGCCUAAAUUGUCUCUCUCCCAGUUUCACCACCUUAGCCCUGUGGUUUCUCUACCCUCUACUUCGAAUCUUGCUAACUAAUUCCUCCCCUUGGUUAGAGCUUACACCCCUCAAAUACUUGUAUAUUGUUGUAAUGCCCUACCUUUCCCCAUCCCUUAGCCAAGCUAUAAAUCUGGCUAGUCAAGAAAGUUACUGCUAUAUGGCUUCCGCCGUGACCCAUUGUUAAAGUAUAUAACAUAAAUUACGCAGAACAGAUCAUACAAGCACAUUUUUUUCCCCACAUGAAUCCUGAAUAAAUAUUAAUGGCCCAUUGCUGUCGCUUUGUACAGUGGCAGUAUUGGAGUCAAUGAGGUUGAUCUGAGGCAUGAUAAUUGCUAGUGGACACGGACCCUAUGCAGUCACCCAAUUAGCUUGCUUUAAAGCUUGGACUUGCCAGAUUGAUAUUUUCCUCUCUGCAAUUUUGAAAUGUUUUACCCCAGAAGCGAUGCCUACUUCUAAUCAAAUGAGAUUGAGCCCAAAUAUCGUACCCAUUAACCUCUCCUGCAGUUCAGAACAAUUUGCUUAACUGUUUUUAAUGUAUUUCUCAUGUUCGCUCCAUGCACAUUAUGGGCUCCUGCUGAGAUGAGAAGCCAGGAUACAGUGAGCAAGGUGGCUUGGGAGAGGCAGGAGUAUGCUCCUGUCAGGAUCUAUACCCAAGUGUUAGAAAGAGUGAUGACUAGUGAUAGGAAGAGGGUGAUCGUUCUCAGUCCCUGUUACCCCAUGUACAAUCUACCUCUGUCAUGCUGUUUGACUUUGAGCACCUUGCUUCCUUCUUCAGUGCCUCGGUUGUCUCAUUAGGAAAACUUUCCUACUUCUGGGGCAUAACUGGUUAGUGGCUUUAAAAAAAAUUAGGUGUCACCAUUGUAAUUAAUAUUUGCUAAGUGUCCAGACAGAUCUUUCCUUGCUCUUCUUGGACACUAAGCUUUGCCACCCACCUGAUGCCAGCUGUGUGGGCAGGAGCUUUGAAGUUCUCAGUGAUCCCAGACCCAGAUCGAUACUCCCCACAGUCGCUUUGGGAUUAGUCAGCACAAACCUUCCUUAUCUUAGCAAUCUAAAUUCACAGCACCUGCCUCAUGUAAAUGGCACUUUAUCCGCUGGAAAUGUGAAUCCAGUCACUAGCGCUGGCUCCGUCAUGCUUAUCAGAAAUACAUUAUCAGGUGGGGAUUAGACAGAGCCUGGUGCUACUGCUCCUGUCCACGCCAGGCGAAUAAUGAAUAAUGAAAAUUCCAGGGACCAGAGACAAACACACUUGACAGGCAGGGGAGCGCCUAUGUCUGCCUUUCACUCACUUUAAUGUGACAAACAUGGCUGCUUUAGAAAUCUUUCCACUCCAUUCACCAUGUCAUAGUUUAUUUCCCCCCCCUCUUUUUCCCUCCCCCUGCACCCAUUUGCCCUCUCUCUGCCAGC